UACGGGAGGCAGCAGUGGGGAAUAUUGCACAAUGGGCGAAAGCCUGAUGCAGCUAUGCCGCGUGUAUGAAGAAGGCCUUAGGGUUGUAAAGUACUUUCAUCGGGGAGGAAAAACAAAACUAAUAAUUUUAUUUCUUGACGUUACCCGAAAAAGAAGCACCGGCUAACUCCGUGCCAGCAGCCGCGGUAAUACGGAGGGUGCUAGCGUUAAUCAGAAUUACUGGGCGUAAAGAGCACGUAGGUGGUUUUUUUAAAGUCAGAUGUGAAAUCCCUGGGCUUAACCUAGGAAACUGCAUUUUGAAACUGAAAUACUAGAGUAUCGUAGAGGGAGGUAGAAUUCUAGGUGUAGCGGUGAAAUGCGUAGAUAUCUGGAGGAAUACCUGUGGCGAAAGCGGCCUCCUAAACGAAUACUGACACUGAGGUGCGAAAGCGUGGGGAGCAAACAGGAUUAGAUACC
rnacentral:rRNA from 1 species